CGUUGGCAACGAUCAAAAUUAAUUCGCCUCUUCCAUUGAAAGCAUUGAAAAACCAAGAAACCUAAAGAGAUAAUUGGAAAUAAACUCUAGAGGUUUUCCAUUCCAAUCGACGUAUUUCUGAAUAUUUUAUUUGUUAUAGUUUUUUAUCUCCCAAAAAAUACUCAAUUGAUUCUAACACAUAAAUCUACGGGUAAGGUGAAUCCAGAUUCACUCUCGGUUUCUCAUUCCUUGAAACCAGUCAGUGAUCUGAUUUGAUGAUUGCUUUCUCAACUGUUGUAGAAACCAGACCCAUACUUUUGUUGCUAAAAUUAAAAGGAGAAUACGGAGAGUGCUCUGCUGGGGUUUAAUACAAGGAAGAAGUGGAACUAGCUAGGGUUGGAUGAGAGUGGAAAAUCUGAAUCUCACUGGAACUCUGGAUGAAUGUAUUUUCGUUGGGUACAGGGAGAACAAAUCAAGAUAUCCAAAAACAAUAAAAAGGAUGAUAAAGUGGAAGAGGUACAAGAAGAGGAAGUGGUGGCUCCGUAGAAGGAGAUUCAUUGCAAGGUUAUGGCACUAGAGUGAGCAAAGAGACGGAGUCAGAUAAUCGAUACUUUGUAAUGAACAUCCUGAUAACAUUGAUAAUGCUGAAGUGAGAACAUACAAGCUCCAUAGCGGUAUGGCGUCCCAGGUCAACUGCAGGCUACAGAAAGUUGGUUCAUCAUCCGAACAAGACAGCUUCAAGGGGUCACGCGACCUCGAAGAGGGAAAACAUGCGCCGUUACUGUUCGAGUCAAUAGGAGGCUGGAAUAAUUGGUUCAACCAGCUUUUGUAGACUUAGGAGUGCAUAUAAAAUGUUGAGUACGCCUAGAUCUGGACUACCAAGUUGGGAGAAUAGAUAUGACGGAUGUGUACCAUGUUAAACAAUACAAGUUCUAACAACUAUUGGCCGCAUUGGUAUAAAUUUUAUUAUACUAAUAAGGUUCUUUGAGGGGCGAAAUACAUACUAAUACUAUAGUUCUUGGCGGGGCCAAAUACAUACUACUAAUUAAAGGUGAGGAUUCAGUGGUCUUAUAACGUUAUUCGCCCACUUUGUUUCUGUGGCUAAUUUUAGAUUCUACUUACUCAGCGUAUUAGGCAGUGUUUAUUAGAACAUUUGCCUAUGUUGUUGUCUCAAAUAACAGGAAUUCUAACCAACGUUUUUGAUUUCUACCUGGAAGAAUUGUUCAGAUCAUAUGAUAUGAAGAGCCUUGGGUUUUAUUUUUUAUUUAUUUAUUAUCAGUCCUGAAAUGUUAUGUUGUUGGUUGGUUCUGGUGAUGCUUGGUACUGAUGAUUGUGUGUGGGUGCGAUACGGUAAUUCCUGAGCAGUGGAGAUGUCAGGAAUUUAGGACUCAUGGUUGGAUGAAUUAAUAAUUCGUGCGAAACACAUGCAAAAUAAUCGAAGUUACUCGCGAGUUAAAUCGCAUUAUGAGCUUUCCACUCGGCAAAUACUUCACUGUAUUCCCUUGGGAAUCAACACUUGAGUGGAGAAUACAUUUGUGGAUCACCUCCCUUCGAAAAACCUUGCAUGAAUCAUCGGAUGGAAUGAAGCUCACGAAAUAUAAGGUGGCUGAAGUUUCCAUCAAAAUGGCAAUACUGAGUUGCCGUUUAGGUGGCACCGAAUUUCGAAGAAUGUGUUGGGGAUCAAUAAUAGUUUGGCUAUAUUCCAAAAAAUGAAGCAAUUGUAUGUUUGUAUUUCU